rnacentral:sRNA from 1 species
AAUAAUGUGUUUGUUGAAGUAAUCUGUUUUGGGUGGUUGUUAAAGUUCAAGAUUGGGCUUUUCCAGUUAUUGGUGACGCCUGAUAAAGAAAGGAACAUAGAGCAUGUUCGGAAGGCCAUCGAGGAGGCUGUUCAAAAGGGUGCCCAGCUUGUUCCUUGCCUAUAACGACAUGGAUGCUUCAUGCAUCAAUCUUGCUACUCAGACAAAGCGAGCCAUGAAUUGAUGAUCACGUUUUUCACCUUUCAGUUUGAUGAGCCAAAACUGUGGUGGAAUAUAAACAACAUUGGUGCUUUAUGAAAUGGUGGUUUUGGUUUACACAAAUUACACGAAAUAUGGAACAGCACAUAUUCGAAUGACAGCUUCCCAGUUUAUGCUGAAGAUAUUGACGCAGGUGGUGAUGCGUCUCCUUCAACAGCUAUGCUGUCUGAAGUUUCUAGUCACCCGACGAUCACAAUAGUUGAUGGCUAUAUACCUGAACGCUGUGGGGAUUAGUUGUACAAUACUUGUUGUGUCUUUGGUACUGAUGGAAAGCUGAAAGCCAAGCACCGCAAGAUUCACCUUUUUGAUAUUGAUAUUCCUGGGGAGAUUACCUUUAUGGAAUCCAAGACCCG